rnacentral:tRNA from 1 species
GGUGCUGUGGCUCAAGUGGUAGAGCGCUAGCCUUGCAUGCAUGAGGCCCUGGGUACGAUUCCUCAGCACCA